CCCUGCUGAGACUGCUGGCCUCUGUCAGUCUGUCCCUUGUCCCGUGGGCAGUACUGCCAGGAGGGAGAAAACGAGAGCACAGCACAGAAAUCAUCUCAGCUUCAGGGCUGACUGGAUCCGGAUAAAGCAGGGAGCACCGGGCCGAAAACUCUUGCCAUACAUCACUCCGUAAGGACAGCCUUUUGUAAGGAUCAGUUGUCACGGGGCUUUAUUAUGUGCUUGUUGCCUUUAUUGGAGUCUUUGUGGCCUGAUCCCGAUGUGCUCUCUGUCUUGUUUCAGCCAGAAUAAUCGCUGCAGUUUGGGGAGUUCAGCCCAGCAGAGCCGCGAGCUCCGACAGAGAAACAAGACCCUAUUGAGGGAGAGCACUGGAACGACUGCUCCGUGGCCAGGGUGCUCCUUCCCAUGAAUAAGGGGACAAAAGUCUGGGGCUAAUGAGAAGCCCGAUGCUGGAGUGUUUGUUUUAAAGACAGUGGUUUAUUCUGCAGGCUCUGCUCUGGAGGCAAGGGAAAUUCUCUCUGGGAUCAGGAGUCUCCCAAAGGAAGGGGCUCCUGUUUAGCCUGGUUCUGCAGCUCUUCCCAGCAGAGGUGACAGUGCAUGAACCUGCUCUGGAGUCCAUGGAAAUGACUGGGAGCCUGUCUGUGUCACGGAAUGUGCUGCAGCAGGACAAGCACAGUGCUUGGCUGAAGUGUAUGGGAGGAUCUAUUUGGAGACUUUCCUGGGGGAUGGAAGGGGUGCAGGGCUUGCCCUAAGGCUCUGUUGGAAAGAAUUCCUGGCUCAGACACACUGAGGCAGUGGAGGGAUGAUCUGUACAGAGCACUGGAGAAAGCUCCUCAGGGAUCAGAGGAGAAUAGUCCUGGACAUCCUGGGGGGGCAGAUAAGGAGUUACGUAGUUCUUUACCGUAAUUGGGGUUCAGACCCCUGUGAACAGCCUGUCAGGGAAAUAUCUGGCAUGACCUAUAAAUGCAAAGGUUGGGUUUGGGUUUCGUUGCUUUGGGAAAAUAGUUUUUUCUUUCUUAUUUUCCCCUUGAUAUUUAUCAGACUUUCAUUUCAUCUUUAGGGUAGAUGGAAAGUAGUGUGUCAGCCAGCAGCAGAGGUGACUGACUCUCUGCCCAGUGCCUGCUCUGUGCUGGGAAAAUCAUUCCUAUGGAAGCUGUACCUGUUCUGUGCAGUCUCCCCACUCUGCACAGCCUCUCCUCCCACCCAUGCCAGCGAGGAGGCUCCUGCAGGGGGGCUCAGGCAACUGUGAACAUUCACUACAACACCCAAACCAGGGAUUAUUUAUAUUCCAAAUCCCAUUUUUCAGCACUGUCAAUUUUUCCCUUACGGGCAAACGAAAAGACAGUUAAAGGGACUUUUGGUGACAUCCCCCCUGUUUAAUGAAGCUUGGAGUUAUGGGCAAGUGACUCGAAGAGCCGUUAUUAUCUGCAUGAGCGGGCGAGGCCGAGGGUCCAGCAGUGUGCACAGAGCUCCCACAAAUGUGCCCAUUGAUCAUGGCUAAUCAGAGCACCCGGGUCAGGGGGGCUGCAGAGAUGGAGAGUGCUGAAAAAGCUGACAAAUGAAGCAGCAGAGCUUUGGGUUAAUGUGAUAUUCAAACAGAAUGAGCUAUUCAGUUUCUUGGGAGCUUGUCACUUUUCUUUUCCUCUGACAUUUUGCUGGAGACUGCAAUGGGGAGACAGGGGGAGUGUGAGAGUGCAUGAGAGAGCAGUGUCUUAACUGGGGGUGGGGCAGAAGGAAGUCCUUCAAGUGGUUCUAAAGAGCAGAAGGGAAAGGCACGAGGGAGGGCAAUUCUCCUGUGUCCUCCCCACUUUAAUUUUAGAGUAGAACACUUUUUGGUUGGUUUUUUCAAAAGGUGAUACUGCUUUGGAGCCUUUGUAAUUUCUGCAUCCAACACUGAUUUGUUAAUUGGCAAAAAACCUGCUCAGGCUGGAGUGUAGUUCAAGAGGAGAUGUUUGGGGUGCUCAGGCCCAGGCUCAGGCCAGAGCUGUGCUGUCCCCAGGGCUAAGUUCAGCACUGUAAGAGGCGAGGAGCUGUGUGGGAUGCUGAUAUGCUUGCUUGCUUGGUUGGUUGUUUUUUCAGAAGCACUGCAUGGAAGGCUGCAGGCAAAAUAUAUGUGUCAGAAGCAGCAUUAUUGCUUUACUUGGGCUUCUUAUGACUUUCUGGUUUCUUAAUAAUAAAUGCCUCACCUGAGGGCUUCUAAGUAUCUGUUAAAAACUCCCUGUAUCUCCAGCACUUUGCAUGCUGGAAGCCCGGCUGGAAACACACAACAAUUGUACUUUAAGUGGCAUAAAUGGUAUCUUCUGGCUCCUGUGUGGAACAGAGCAGACGACAGGUUUGGGGUUUUACUCUGUCAUCCCUGCAGGGCAGCAGUGGGGCUGAAGGUCCCUGCUCCCAGCUCUAGGCUCUCACCAGAGGAGUGGUUGGGUUAUAAGUACAGUUAAGGCUGGUGUAUGCUGAAGAAAAUAGCACCUCAUGCUCCAGGGAGCACUUAGCAAGAGCCUGCCUGGGAUUAACAGCUGGAGAGAUUUAUUUGGUGCUCUCUAGGUUAGAGGGACAUAACGCUCUAAGGAGUGAGAGAGCUUUGAGGAAUGCAGGGUCAGAGCUCCUGGAAAAGCUCUGCCGGUUCAGUAAUCCUGUGGGCACGCAGUGCUGAGCUCAGCUCCUGGGAGUGGGCUGCCCCAGGAGAGCAGGAGAUCCUGGGAAGUGCUGCACAGCUUCCCAGGGAAAGUGCAGCUAAGGACCACGCACUUGUACUCAACAGCUUGGGCCAUCCCUUCUCUGUGCAGCUGUUGAUCAGGAAAUCAUCCUUGAAAAAUUAAUCAGAUUUUACUUUUUUAGUGGAGUUUCAAGCCUCUCACAGAACUUUGAUUUCUCAUGUUUUAAUUUGUUUCUCCCUACUCUGUUUCCUAAGCAUUUUCUUCUUCUUGGAAAAUCUGGGAGUUGCUUUUUUCCUGACUUGCAGUUACUUCAGCAUUUACAGGGGGCCCUGGAAUGGUUUUGCUGUUCCAUUCCAGAUGCAAAUAACUCAGAGUCCCCCAGCAGGACAUUGCAGGGCUUGACCAGGAGAGUGUGUGAGCUUGGCAAGAAGAAAACUGUUACACCAGCACUGCGGGGAACAAGGAAUUUCUCUUUGCAGGCUGCUCCCUGGAAUAGCGUCACCAUGAAGUUGGAAGGAGAAGGGCAGAGUGAGAGGAGGAGAGGAAGCACAUGGCUGUUUGCCUGGUGCUUCUGGAGUGCAUGACAGCUCCGGUUCAAUGGCGCUGAGAGCAGCCUGGUAACGUCACCAGGCUGGAGGCUGCAGCCUCUAAAGCUUGGGACAGCACAGCUGACAUGGAGCUGACAGGAAUGUGUAAGAGCAACAAUGCAUAACGUAGCAAAGCCCUGAAUUUCUUUUUCUCCACACGCUGCAAAAAGCACAACAGAUGGAAGGAAGACCUUGGGGAAACAGUCACGGAGCUGGGGCUCAGGACAUGGGAAUUCAGCCACUGGGGUGGUACAAGACCAGGGAUAGGCAGAUGAUCUGCCUCUCCUUUGUUUUGCAGAUCAUUUCACGAUGUUUUUCUUUCUCCCCAUCUGUUUUGACUCUCAGGUCUUCGGGGCUGACACAGUUUCAUAUUAUCUCCCUUUUUGAGAGGAGCAUUUCUUCCUUUCUUCCAGCAUGAACCUGUCCUGAAGUACAGAAGAACAACAGUGACUAUUUGUUAAUGCCGACAGCAGAAUUAUUUAAUCUUCCCCUGCUCUAACCAGUCCUGCAGUCUGCUGCUGCCUGCCAUGUGAGGAAUUUUAAAUGCCGUGGCACCCCUGCUGCUGCCAGAGUGACAGCCUGGCCCGGGCCCCUCGCGGUCAGUCGGACAGCUUGGCUCACACUGUGACUCCAGCACAGCCAGGCACGCCUUGACCUCUGUCAUCUGCUCCUCUCACAGGCUUUGCAUCUGCACUAGCUCCUGAGAGGGUUCUGCUCCAGACAGCAGCUCCAGCCACGGAACCAGCGCCGUGGGCCCACCGGGACCCGCUGGCACCCGGCACACGUGGGCCAAGGGCCCGAGCUUGGCACCCCCUGGCACCCGGCACAGCUCGUCCUGUGUGCCCCUCUGCCGUUCUGGGGAACAUCUGACUGCUGGAACUGCACCACCAGCCUUUGGGAGAUGGCCUCUGCUGCUGGGGAAGCAGUUGGAGUGUUUAUCGUGGCUUUAAGUUGAAAUGGGACAUUCAGAUUAGAUACCAGAAAAAUGUUUUCACUGUUUGGGCGCUAUAUAUAAAUAUAUAUAUAUUUAAUUCCAUUUGUGAAUCCAGGCCACAGGGCUUCAAGGCUUCCUUAGGCUUCCCUUGUGUCAGUUCCUGUACUGCCUUCACUUUGUUUAUUGAUCUGAAAGAAUCUGUCGUGCUCUAGUACAUUUCUAGUCUCAAACAUUAGGAUGAGGAGAAGGUCGGGGAUUUUAUCCCGCCAUUUCGCGCCGGGACUGACCAGCAGGGGGCGCGCACUUGCCCCUCACGCCCCCGUCACGUGGCCUUGGAGCCGAGGCCACGUGCAGUGCCCUCAGGUGCUCGGCGGGAAAGUUCUGCCCUCAGGCACGCGCUGCUCCCCUCAGAGCGCGGCGGGAAAAUCCGGUCCGGUCCGGUCCCUCAGAGCUCGCGCUGCUCCCCUCAGAGCGCGGCGGGAAAGUCCGGUCCGGUCCCGUCCCUCAGGACGCGGCGGGAAGCUCUGGUCCUGCACAUCCCGUCAUCCCUGGGACUCCGGCUGUCGCUGCAACUGUUAGUUGGCUCUUGCUGUAAUUGAUGGACACUGCCAGUUGCUUAGACAGAUGGGAAUUAAUACUGGUGUUCCCAUUAGAACUCGCCAUCACAGUCACGUUGGCUUUGGUCUCCUGCAGUGGGUUGAUGUGUGCAAGAGAGUACGCGAGGAAGGAGCGAGCAUGGCUCCUGCCUGCAGCACUUGACUUCCAGGGUAUUGGAGCCAUCCAUCCAGCAUAGAGCAGAUGAGCUGCUUGCCAGCAGCUUGCAAAACACAUGGCUUUGAGAUGGUGAGGAAAAUGCUUCUUUGCUGGACGCUGAGAGAUUGCAGUGAGUAGGACUCUGAUCCGCAGAGGUGUCUGUGAGCUGUAGAUGCAGGUAUGCUGACAAAACAGGUGGGUGCUCAGCUGGGAGUGCCGAUGUCCCUUUGUGCUGGUUUGUUGGUUCCAUGCAGGGCAGGUCAUGCACACACAGUGCCCUCUCCUCCUCCCAAGUCUCCUGCCAUCAAACCCAUGCCUGAUGCUCAGACCCAGCAGGUCUGGCUGCUCGCUCAGCCUCGGGGCUGAGGUGUGAGCAGUGCGUGGGAGCCCCUCCCCGAAGCCAGCCGCAGCGCCGUGGUGCGCGUGGCUUGACGCUCAAGGUAGGAGCGUGUUGCCCACUGCUAUGCCAAUUACUGGAUAUUAAUGGCAGGAUAGCGUGCAUAUGCCUAAACUGGGAAGCAGAAGGUUAAUAGACGAACAGCACCAGAAGAUCCCAUUUAUCAGUUUCUAUUUAUCUCUCCUUGGGAGGUGGCAGGUUUACAGUAAAUACCUUCUGUCCUCCUAAUUUCCUAAUGAUGGGGAUAAUGAUGGAGAAUGGUGAAGUCAUUAACUGGGACAGCCUCUGUGCAUCACUCUGUCAACCACAUCUCUCCAAGACCUGCAAUGAAAAGUGAUAGGCCCCAGCUGUUCACCAGAUUCUGUUCCCUUCCCCCUUCCCCAUGCUCAGCCCCAACUGCAGGCUUAGCAAUUAAAAAACAAGGGGAAAAAAUGAGACCCAAAACCUGAAAGACAAAAGCCAGUCCCUUUCUCUGCUAUGGCAACGAUAGCCUAGUCUGCCCUGUGCUUGGGUGUGGGUUGGGCCCCAUUCCAAUGCUCCCAGUUAAAUGUGGUGGUAUCCCCGGGCUGGAUGGUGUCAUUUGGGCCAGGUGCGCGGUCCUGGAGGGAGGAAUAUGAGCUGGCAUGAGUGGAAGCCAGAAGAAGGUUGUGCUUCUGGAGCAGAGGCACUGGGUUUCCUUGGUCUUGCCUCACGUACUUGCCUUCAGUGGAAGAACCUGUUCAAUGCCUGUAAAAACGGCACCAGUUCUCUGUGUCUGACUCUGUGUGUUGGGUUACUGAUGGAUUUUGGGGUUUACCAAUGGUCAUGUGGAACUGUGGGGGGUGCUUUGGUUCUAGAUCCCGCUUCACAGGACAGGAAAGCGUUCCUGAAAGAGGACCCGAGGUUCAAAUGAAGAUGGACGUAAGUAAAAUACUGCUUUGAAAAGAUGUUUUUUUUUUCCCCCACAAUGAUGUUUCUUUGUUAGUGACUCUUGACCUUUUUUUGUAAUUGUUUCACAUUUGGACAGUGGCUGGGAGUUGAUGACUGUUUUCAGAGAGUUAAGAGUGGUUUGCCAUUUAUAGCAGCCAUGUAUUAGUCCAGUGAGUGCCUGUGAUUGUAGCCAGCCCUGUUUGGGGCGGGCUGUGGCCUGGAGUACCACGUGGCAGAGCCACCCAGCUAUCCUGCGGGGUGGUGCCUUUUGGUCCUGAGUGCCUCUUGCUGUGCCUGAGAGUCUGGCCUUCUGCCUGCAUGAGUUCUGAAAAGAGAGGCCUGCCUGAAGUGAGCUUUUCCUGUGCAUCCACGGUGUGCUGCGCUCAUAAAAGAACUCUCAAGCUGUGGGAGCUUUGUGUUAGAAGGGUUCAUUAACUUUCAAAUGUUUCAAUUGAGAAAUUUUAGAGCUCUCAGCAUAGACCAGGGUGGCCGGCUCAGCCAAGAGUGUCCCCUGACAGUCAGGUACAGAUGUGAUUGCUAGUCAGAGCACCGUAAGAAACCUAAUAGUGUCCCAGCAAGUGUCAUACUUGAGCUGGAAAGGAUUAAACCAGAUAGCCCGGAGACGCUGUAAAUAAUUUUUAUUGGGCUUUAAGAACUAGGGAGACAAGAGGAGCCUUUACCUUGUAGCUUGCUAGGAAUUGUGCCUGCAGGGCUGCGGAGUGUGUGCACUGGUGAAAGAAAGGAUUCUGGGACUGGUCUUAGUCUGAGCAGGUGCUUAACUGUAUUCCAAAGUGCCUUGGGACAAGGUAGAUCGUGGUGGUACAAAGGGAUGUUUUUCUGGCUGAUGUCUCUGGUGUGUGAACACAGAGACAUGAGGAAUGAAAGGCAAUGGGAGACUUUGCUGUUUGGGGGAUGUGAUGUUAGCUGGCUAGCACAUGAGACAAAUGGAGUGUAAAUGUUCCCUAAACACUUCCUGCUGGUUUAUUUUCAAAUUCUAGAUGCUUUUUUUGGCUAUUCAAACCUACUGAGUUUGUUUUUUGUUUUUUGUUUUUUUUUAUUCAUGCAGAGCUGUCUGCAGAGGAGUCUUCUUCUAAGGGAGUAGAGUUAAGUUGAACACCUCUGGUAUCACUUGGCUAAUAACUAUGUGCGUCCGGUCACAAAUUUUGAGGCCAGGGAAAGGGGAGUUUGAUUUCAUGCGGAAUAAUUCAGGACCCUCUGUUUAACCUUGUUAUCUUGGCAUAGGUUUAGGGGCUGAUGUUUGACCCUAAGUCUGGCCUCCAGCUUUGUUUUAGACACGUGAGGAGGUGCCAGUUGAGUGGAUUCCAGCCACCCUAGGACAAGCUGCAGGGGCUCCUUGAUGGUUUUGCAAUCUUGUGACCCUUGCUGGAUUGUUUCCUGGCCAGCUGGCUUUGCUUGGGUUCUCCCAAAAACAGGCUAGCCCGGUGUUCCCAGUGAGGCCAAGCCUUGUGUGGACUGCAGCCCUCCUGUGUUGCCAUGGUUCCCAUAGGAGCUCCUAGCCAAAAGUUAGAAUAUUCUUGGUUGCUCAUGUCUUAACUUGCUCUGGUCUGUCUAUUGCAAGCCCAGUGGUCCAGGGAUGAACUCUGUGCUUUUGUUUCUGUGGCCAGCAUGUCUGCUUUUGACAGCUCAAGCUUGACAAAAACCAGGCUAAAUAGAACAUGUGAUAUUACACAGCUGUUGGUUUCUAAAUAAGGAAAAUCAUAUUAGUCCCUCUAUAAGCAAUCUGUAUGGUAAUUUCAGGAAAACAUGAUGUGGCUGUUCUCCCUGAGAAGAAGGAGCUGAUAAAUCUUUUAACAUAUGUAAACUAACUGUGUAGGGAAGACAUCGGAGUCUAGCAAGCAGGAAAGUUUUACUUCAGUUGUGUUUGAUGGGAAAAAUAAAGGCAGAACCAACUGCCUAUCACUGUGGAAAUUUGUUUGGGUAGGACAAUAUCUACGGCUCCAAAUCCUGAGGAGGAUGGAUGCUGUUAUAGAUAUUGCUGGUCAAGUGAAAGAAAUGUCACUGGAGCAUUGUAAUAGCUAUCUGAAAUAAUUUUUUCAAUUAUGUGUAACAUGCAGCAGUGGAUGACUUAAGAAGUUAUCCUAUCUGACAGGACAAAGGCAGCAAAAAUGUUAGAUUUAAGACCAUUUCUAAAGGUGCAGGAUGUACAUGCUAACCCUCUGGCUAUCGAAGGUUGAAAGGAAGCAGGAGCGGCUGUUGGCAGUGAGCAUUUAGCUCUUUAGAACUUGCCUGACUGCGUCUGGUUCUGGCUGCUGCAUGCAGCCACAGCUUCCAGAGGGAAGCGUAGCCAUGCUUCUGCAGGACAUUAUGGAUAAACCUAAUGUUUUACAUGGAUUUCAUUGGACUCUGGCUUCCAGAAGAAUGGUGUAAAAGGAAGCUGUUAAUGGUGUUUUCCUUGAGUAACUGAAUUGUUCCUGCCUCUGCUGGAGGAGGCACAUGCUGCAAGUGGCAGUGCUUAUUGGGGCUGCUCUGUACUGCUCAGUAUGAGAGAACUCAUUGCCAGCUGUGGGGAAAUGUGAAAUACAGACAGGGGGCAGUUCAGUAAGAUGAUGAUGGCUGUUUUAAGGAGAGGCAGCUGGGUGUCCAGUGUAUCCCACUGACUGCCUCAGCUCAAAAGCAAUGUCCAGCGCUCCGUUUGCUAUGGCACUAGGGUGUUUAAAGGAAAUUCCAAGAGCUACAGAGAGUCCUGGCCAUCCACCACUUCGGUCUUCCAGAAGACCUGUUGUGAUUUGUUUUGCUAUGAAGGAACCUCCCAGUUGCAGGUGUCAGAACCCGCACAGUAUGAAUCUUCCCCUGCUGUCCUUGAUAUUGACUCUUGAAAGUCUUAUGAUAAAGAGCUAUUAACCUCUGGUAAAGAGCUAAGCUUUCACUGAGUUGUAUUUCAUUUGCCAUUUUUACCUUUGAUACGGUAUUUUCCUUACUCUGCAUAUGUCUUUCCCCUUCCCAUUUUUGCUCCUGCUGGCAGAGAAAAUCUCUGCAGUUCUGUCUUGCUCCCAUUUUUCAGAUAAAGCAUUCAUGAUACCGAGAGCUCCAAGCUCAAUGGACUGUGUGUGUAGC